ensembl:snoRNA
UGGAUCAGUGAUGAUAACUGCCGGCGUAUGAAUCAUGGAUGAUGAAUGAUACAUGUCUGGAACUCUGAGGUCCAG